rnacentral:tRNA from 1 species
GGAGACGUGGCUCAGCGGUUGAGCGCUUGCCUUGCAAGCGAGAGGCCCUGGGUUCAAUUCCCAGCACCA